UAGGGAAUCUUCCGCAAUGGACGAAAGUCUGACGGAGCAACGCCGCGUGAGUGAAGAAGGAUUUCGGUUCGUAAAACUCUGUUGUUAGGGAAGAAAAAAUGUAUAGUAACUAUAUACAAAAGAGACGGUACCUAACCAGAAAGCCACGGCUAACUACGUGCCAGCAGCCGCGGUAAUACGAAGGGGGCUAGCGUUGUUCGGAUUUACUGGGCGUAAAGCGCACGUAGGCGGACUUUUAAGUCAGGGGUGAAAUCCCGGGGCUCAACCCCGGAACUGCCUUUGAUACUGGAAGUCUUGAGUAUGGUAGAGGUGAGUGGAAUUCCGAGUGUAGAGGUGAAAUUCGUAGAUAUUCGGAGGAACACCAGUGGCGAAGGCGGCCAACUGGUCCGAAACUGACGCUGAGGCGCGAAAGCGUGGGGAGCAAACAGG
rnacentral:rRNA from 1 species